CUUUGCGGUUUGCACCCAAAAAUGUUGUCUUCCCGUACCUUGGAAUGUUAUGCAGACUCUACCUGGCUGCCCUCCAUUACAAUGAAAAUACUGACUGACCACAGGCAACAUCUACAGGUGGAGAGCUGCUGUACAGUCAACUUCCCCAAAUCUAAGCAUGGAGAAUGAACUGCAAAGCCUGUGAAAGCAGAGCCAACAUUCCACUACAUUGAUGCACUGUUGGACCUGAUCUUUGAGAAGGUUUUCCAGGACCCUGGCCCAUAUGUGAAUGAGGUGCUGAAGCUUGCAAUCCCUGAAGACCUCUCGGCUCAGUAUGAAAGACCCAACAAGCUGGACGUUAUAGCCAGUUACGUGUCAAGGUUCAAUCAAGGACAGGUCUGAACCCAACAUACUGUCCUUCAGCGUCGGGGAACUCUGCAUGAAUCCUCAGCACCACACAGGCAGGCAGCACAGCUCUCACUCUUCGCCUCAGAAAGCACCAGCACCAGCUUACAAAGCUUCUGUAGGCUAGGUAUCUAUAUUGGCUGGACACAAUUCAGUAGAAAGUCAGCACUGAAUGUUCACAUCUAUGGCAACUGGCAAGUUUAACCAUUCCACUUUAGAUAUUUUGUAUGUCUACAAUUGUUUCUUUCAAUAAAACAUCUCUCCCAAC